AACUCGAUCUCAAAUCAAGUAAGACUACCCGCUGAACUUAGCAUAUCAAUAAGCGGAGGAAAAGAAACUAAACAAGGAUUCUCCUAGUAACGGCGAGUGAAGCGGGAUGAGCUCAAAUUUAAAAUCUGGCUGGUUUACUAGUCCGAAUUGUAGUUUAUAGAAGCGUUUUCGGUGGCAGCCUGGGUAUAAAUCCUUUGGAAUAGGGUAUCAUAGAGGGUGAGAAUCCCGUCUUUGACUCAGUGCAUGCUACUAUGUGAUACGUUUUCAAAGAGUCGAGUUGUUUGGGAAUGCAGCUCAAAAUGGGUGGUAAAUUUCAUCUAAAGCUAAAUAUUGGCGAGAGACCGAUAGCGAACAAGUACCGUGAGGGAAAGAUGAAAAGAACUUUGAAAAGAGAGUUAAACAGUGCGUGAAAUUGUUGAAAGGGAAACGUUUGACACCAGUUAUGCGGGUGGAAAAUCAGUCUUUUGCAAUGGGGAGUUGUGGGCGUUCAGACCGCAAGGCUGGCGUUUGCUUCAUCUUUGUUGUAAGUGAUGCACUUUUUCAUUUGCAGGUCAACAUCGGUUUGCUUUGCUGGACAAAACCCCAAGGGAAGGUGGCAGCUUAGGCUGUGUUAUAGCCCUGGGGCGAUACAGUGGAGUGGACUGAGGUUUCGCAGUGUGUGCUCUCGGGCAAGGCUGACUGGGUGCUAUGGGAUCGUUCGGCGUACAAUGCAUGCAUUUUGCGUCGUGUCUUUUUCAUACUCGCUCAACUCGGCUCUUCCACACUUAGGAUGUUGACUUAAUGGUUUUAAACGACCCGUCUUGAAACACGGACCAAGGAGUCUAACAUAUAUGCAAGUGUUUGGGUGGCAAACCCAUGCGCGUAAUGAAAGUGAACGUAGGUGCGAUCCGCAAGGUGCAACCAUCGACCGAUCUUGAUAUUUUUGGAUAGAUUUGAGUAAGAGCAUAUAUGCUGGGAC
rnacentral:rRNA from 1 species